CACUGAAACACUGAGAGGACUAACAGUCAUACUUACAGACUUCUCCUCUUAACUCCAAACCACUGCAAAUCAUUCUCCUAGAUUUGGAUUGAGCAAACAUACAACAUGUGUAAGGGAUUAGCAACACUGCCAGCAACCUGCUUAAAAAGUGCCAAAGACAUCAAACACAAGAUUGGCUUUCUGCUCCAGAAGCCUGAGUUUCCAACAGACCAGAAACAGGUCAAAGAGAAGACGACCGCUGUCAAGGGGACAGAGACACCAUGUCAAACUAUUCCUGGAGGAGACUUCAUGCAACACAUGUACCCCAGUGGCUCUCUUGCAGAAGAUGUUCAU